GGAGGAAAAGUAACUAGGAUUCCCCCAGUAACUGCGAGUGAAGAGGGAAGAGCUCAUCAUUGGAAUCUGGCAGUGUUGCACUGUCCGAGUUGUAGAUGAGGAGUAGUCCAUCUGGACUGCAUGGCGUCCAAGUACAAUAGGCCGUCAGUGGGACAUCAUAGAGGGUGACAAUCCCGUCCUUGAUGCCAAUGUGCAAGUCCGUUACGAUGGCUAUCUCAGAGAGUCGAGCAGUUUGGGAUUUGCUGCUUAAACAUGGGAGGUAGAUUCCUUCUAAAGCUAAAUACAGGCGAGAGACCGAUAGAGAACAAGUACCGCAAGGGAAAGAUGAAAUAGCACUCUGUGAAGGGAGUCAAAAGGCGUGAAAUUGUUGCGAGAGAAGCGAUUCAAGUCAGCGUAGCUAGGCCCAUCAAGCGUCUCGCUUUGGACUAGCUUUGCCAGCGGUCUUGUCCUUUAGAGAGAGACUUGACUUGUUAACGAUGUCCAGCCUGGUAUGCACAGGUAGCCCCCCGGGGUCAGUGGCAUGGCUGGUGGAAUGACUUGCAUUCGACCCGUCUUGAAACACGGACC
rnacentral:rRNA from 2 species